GCUGAUCUGUACGUUGUUAUGGAUACGUCACAUAUGGAUUGACAAAUUACCUAAAAAAAUACAAAUAUGAAUCGUUUCGUUUCACAAACGUAUCGUUUUGCUUCAGAAGACAUAUGUACGUUAACCCACUGGAGUCAUUUGGAUAACUGUAGGGAUGGAUGUAACGUGUUUUUGGAGCUCUACCGUGUUUACCUCAGAAGAUAACAUGACGUCAUUUUUGGUAUAAAAUGAAUAGUUUUGAGUUUAACUGAAGAAACAAAAAGUCAUAUACAUCUGGGAUGGCAUGAGGGGCGAAGAAACAGAGUCCACGCACGCACCUCCCUCUGCAGGCCCGGCACCACAAGGCAGCUGAAUGAUAAAGAGGUACAUGUUUAUUUUCCACAUCCUGGCAUCAGUCAACGGUGACUGAACUCUGCUUUCAACACGCAGUUUAGAGGAUGGAGCUCAGCACUUCAGGGGUGCGGCGGCACUGGGGCCAAGGGGCUCGAUGGGGCGUCCAUCUGGGUCUCCUUUCUGACUGUCAGAAUCUUUGAGCCUCUAAGCAACAUACGUUCAUUCAAAGCAUUUACUUCAAAUGCACUCCUUUAAGUAAAGAAGCAUUAGUCUGGAAAUGAUAAAAACAUUCAAAACCAUCACAUCAGUUGCCUGAGUGCAAACUGCUUAUGCAUUCGUAUUUAAAAUGCACACUUUUUGUUAUUACUGGAAAAAGAGUCUUUUCAGCUGGAGAUGCUUUUAUCAGAUAAUAACCAGAUAGUGAGUCAUUUGCGAACACAGCAGCUUUCUAUGCAGUUCUUUUUAUGAAGCAGUACAAAGAAAAUGUCGUCCACAAUCAAAACAUUUUAAAAGCACAUCAUGGAAAUGAGGGAACGGAAAAGAGGUUUCAGAUGGAAAAUAAUAAGAAAGGCAUUUUUAUCAUUCCAAAUUCAGAUUUAAAGCUAUUGAGUAAAACAAGAAUUUGUUGUAUACUAAACAUGCCAAACACAAACACAGAUCUUUUAAUCGUGCAAGCUGCUCUCAGAUUUUGUCUCUAAAAAAAUUCAUAUUUUUAUAU